rnacentral:tRNA from 1 species
GUUCCUGUAGUUGAGAACAAUGACGGCUUUUCGAGCCGUAGGUUUCGGGUAGUGGCCGAGCAGGAAUA